CAUAGGCCUGAGGUACUGGAAGGUCCUCAGGCCGAAAGGGGCUCUGCCCGCCCGAGGAUGGGCCGGCGGCCGAUUAGGUAGUUGGUGGGGUAACGGCCCACCAAGUCGAAGAUCGGUACGGGCCAUGAGAGUGGGAGCCCGGAGAUGGACACUGAGACACGGGUCCAGGCCCUACGGGGCGCAGCAGGCGCGAAACCUCCGCAAUGCGGGCAACCGCGACGGGGGGACCCCCAGUGCCGUGGCAACGCCACGGCUUUUCCGGAGUGUAAAAAGCUCCGGGAAUAAGGGCUGGGCAAGGCCGGUGGCAGCCGCCGCGGUAAUACCGGCGGCCCGAGUGGUGGCCGCUAUUAUUGGGCCUAAAGCGUCCGUAGCCGGGCCCGUAAGUCCCUGGCGAAAUCCCACGGCUCAACCGUGGGGCUUGCUGGGGAUACUGCGGGCCUUGGGACCGGGAGAGGCCGGGGGUACCCCUGGGGUAGGGGUGAAAUCCUAUAAUCCCAGGGGGACCGCCAGUGGCGAAGGCGCCCGGCUGGAACGGGUCCGACGGUGAGGGACGAAGGCCAGGGGAGCGAACCGGAUUAGAUACCCGGGUAGUCCUGGCUGUAAAGGAUGCGGGCUAGGUGUCGGGCGAGCUUCGAGCUCGCCCGGUG
rnacentral:rRNA from 1 species